rnacentral:lncRNA from 1 species
UUGCAGGUGCGAGGGGAGGACGGAUAGAGUUGAUAGACUUGGUCGUUCUGGAUUCUGAUUCAGACGACGAUCAUGCUGACACAUAGUUUUGGGUGUUAAUAUGAGCUCCUCGAGUUGGGAUUAGUGUAGGAGUAGAGUUUUUAGCUCUGACAGUCUUGCUUCAUUUGUUACUUAGGGGACAGGGUAGAUCCGCCUAUAGCUUUUUGUGUGGUUUCCUUACGGGAAUCACAGAGAGUUGGUUGGACUUAGGAGGUCUUAUUUUCAGGCCAUUGGGUCAGCU